UCGAGAGUUUGAUCCUGGCUCAGAUUGAACGCUGGCGGAAUGCUUUACACAUGCAAGUCGACCGGUAGAGGGGGGCAACCCCUUGAGAGUGGCGAACGGGUGAGUAAUAUAUCGGAACGUGCCCAGUCGUGGGGGAUAACGUAGUGAAAACUUACGCUAAUACCGCAUACGAUCUAAGGAUGAAAGCGGGGGAUCGCAAGACCUCGCGCGAUUGGAGCGGCCGAUAUCAGAUUAGGUAGUU
rnacentral:rRNA from 1 species